rnacentral:rRNA from 1 species
GCAGCCGCCGCGGGAAUACGUAGGGUGCGAGCGUUAAUCGGAAUUACUGGGCGUAAAGCGUGCGCAGGCGGUUCGUUAAGACAGAUGUGAAAUCCCCGGGCUUAACCUGGGAACUGCAUUUGUGACUGGCGAGCUAGAGUAUGGCAGAGGGGGGUAGAAUUCCACGUGUAGCAGUGAAAUGCGUAGAGAUGUGGAGGAAUACCGAUGGCGAAGGCAGCCCCCUGGGCCAAUACUGACGCUCAUGCACGAAAGCGUGGGGAGCAAACAGGAUUAGAUACCCGCGUAGUCCCUGUCUCUUAUAC